AUUGAACGCUGGCGGAAUGCUUUACACAUGCAAGUCGAACGGUAGAGGGGGCAACCCCUCGAGAGUGGCGAACGGGUGAGUAAUAUAUCGGAACGUGCCCAGUCGUGGGGGAUAACGUAGCGAAAGUUACGCUAAUCACGCAUACUAUCUCAGGAGGAAAGCGGGGGAUCGCAAGACCUCGCGCGAUUGGAGCGGCCGAUAUCAGAUUAGGUAGUUGGUGGGGUAAAGGCUCACCAAGCCAACGAUCUGUAGCUGGUCUGAGAGGACGACCAGCCACACUGGAACUGAGACACGGUCCAGACUCCUACGGGAGGCAGCAGUGGGGAAUUUUGGACAAUGGACGCAAGUCUGAUCCAGCCAUUCCGCGUGCAGGAUGAAGGCCCUCGGGUUGUAAACUGCUUUUGUACGGAACGAAAAGGUCUCUCUUAAUACGGGGGACUCAUGACGGUACCGUAAGAAUAAGCACCGGCUAACUACGUGCCAGCCGCCGCCGUAA
rnacentral:rRNA from 1 species